UACGUAUGGGGCAAGCGUUAUCCGGAAUUAUUGGGCGUAAAGAGUGCGUAGGUGGUUACCUAAGCGCAAGGUUUAAUCUUGAGGCUCAACCUCAUUCUGCCUUGCGAACUGGGCUGCUUGAGUGCAGGAGGGGAAAGCGGAAUUCCCAGUGUAGCGGUGAAAUGCAUAGAUAUUACACAGAACACCGAUUGCGAAGGCAGCUUACUAAUCCAUCAUUGACGCUGAGGCACGAAAGCGUGGGGAUCAAACAGGAUUA
rnacentral:rRNA from 1 species